rfam:Bacillus sp. OV166 genome assembly, contig: Ga0115450_11
ACGUUCGGGUAAUCGCUGUGAGAAGCAUUUGCAUUCUUGCAGAGGAAAGUCCAUGCUCGCACGAGCUGAGAUGCUCGUAGUGUUCGUGCCUAGUGAAUUCAUAAGCUAGGGCAGCUGGGGCUAGCAUCCAGUUGACGGCCGGGAAAAUACCUAAGUCCUUUUGGGGAUAUGGUAUGAAUACCUAUAAAAGUGCCACAGUGACGUAGCCUUUCCAGAAAUGGAAAGGGUGGAACGGGUAAACCCCACGAGCGAGAAACCCAAAUAAUGGUAGGGGCACUUUCUCUUAGGAAUUGAACAAGGAGAAGGACAGGUUCAAAUCUGAACCUGUAGAUAGAUGAUUACCACCUAAGUACGAGACACACCCGUGUCGUUUGGAGUACACUGGUACAGAACAUGGCUUACAGAA